CCUCAUUUGGUUAAACCACACAAGCUCCGUGCUUGGAACUUCCGUUUUCUUAUCUUGAACAUCAUGUACUGUUCCAGCUCAUAGGCAGCCACCCAGGAAGGAAGCAUUUCAUUCCUUUCAGACAGAGGGCCUGACUAGCCAAUGGCCACGCUGUUGAAAGCUCUCUUUUCAGAUGUCACAGCCAGAUGAAGGAUAAUUUAAGAAGCACGGAGCUGGGUGAUGGGUCUUACAGAGCUGCCUGUCUGCUGGACCUGGAGGAAAGCUUACCCCAGCAAGAUGGAAGCGGAUAAGCAAAGAGUUGUUGUCAGACAUCUACAGCAAAGAGAGGGAUCUGUGAUGAUCUUCCCAUGGUGCUGUGCCCUUGCUUCUGAUGGCUUUGCAAGAGUACUUCAGAGCUAAACUCAAAGAUGAACAUCAGAAAGAGGAACCUUAAAAA